rnacentral:rRNA from 1 species
AACGAACGCUGGCGGCAUGCCUAACACAUGCAAGUCGAACGAGACCUUCGGGUCUAGUGGCGCACGGGUGCGUAACGCGUGGGAAUCUGCCCUUGGGUUCGGAAUAACAGUUAGAAAUGACUGCUAAUACCGGAUGAUGUCUUCGGACCAAAGAUUUAUCGCCCAAGGAUGAGCCCGCGUCGGAUUAGCUAGCUGGUGAGGUAAAAGCUCACCAAGGCGACGAUCCGUAGCUGGUCUGAGAGGAUGAUCAGCCACACUGGGACUGAGACACGGCCCAGACUCCUACGGGAGGCAGCAGUGGGGAAUAUUGGACAAUGGGCGAAAGCCUGAUCCAGCAAUGCCGCGUGAGUGAUGAAGGCCUUAGGGUUGUAAAGCUCUUUUACCCGGGAUGAUAAUGACAGUACCGGGAGAAUAAGCCCCGGCUAACUCCGUGCCAGCAGCCGCAGUAAGAC